rnacentral:rRNA from 1 species
CUUGCUUUCAGCGAUGGAUGUCUUGGCUCGAACAAUGAUGAAGGGCGCAGCGAAGUGUGAUGAGCAUUGUGAGUUGCAGGAUUCCGUGAGCCAACAAGGAAUUGAAUGCGCACAGCACUUUCG